GUGAAUCAUCGAAUCUUUGAACGCAAAUUGCACUCCCUGGUAUUCCGGGGAGUAUGCCUGUUUGAGGGUCAGUAAAAUAAAAAAUCGAUUCAUCGCUCUUUGUUUUGGGGUGAUCGCGUCGGCAUUGAGCCAUCUUUCAGAUGUGAAUUGAUAUCAAAGUUUCGUCAAAUUCAUUCAGCCGAUACGAUUGAAAGAUGUAUA
rnacentral:misc_RNA from 1 species